GAUGAACGCUGGCGGCGUGCCUAAUACAUGCAAGUCGAGCGAACAGAUGAGGAGCUUGUUCCUCUGACGUUAGCGGCGGACGGGUGAGUAACACGUGGAUAACCUACCUAUAAGACUGGGAUAACUUCGGGAAACCGGAGCUAAUACCGGAUAAUAUAUUGAACCGCAUGGUUCAAUAGUGAAAGACGGCUUUGCUGUCACUUAUAGAUGGAUCCGCGCCGCAUUAGCUAGUUGGUAAGGUAGCGGCUUAUCAAGGCAACGAUGCGUAGCCGACCGGAGAGACUGGUCGGCCACACUGGAGCGGGAACGCGGUCCAGACUCCUGCGGGAGGCAGCAGUAGGGAAUCGUCCGCAGUAGGCGAGAGCCUGGCGGAACGGCGCCGCGUGAGUGAUGAAGGUCUUCGGAUCGUAAAGCUCUGUUAUUAGGGGAGAACAAAUGUGGAAGGUACUAUGCACGUCUUGACGGUACCUGGUCAGAAAGCCACGGCUAACUACGUG
rnacentral:rRNA from 1 species